UUAGUUGGUAAGGUAACGGCUUACCAAGGCGACGAUGGAUAGCUGGUUUGAGAGAGUGAUCAGCCACACUGGGACUGAGAUACGGCCCAGACUCCUACGGGAGGCAGCAGUGAGGAAUAUUGCGCAAUGGGCGAAAGCCUGACGCAGCAACGCCGCGUGGGGGAUGAAGCUUUAUGGAGUGUAAACCCCUGUAAGUAGGGACGAAAGUUACCUAUUCGAAUAGGAUGGGUAUUUGACGGUACCUGCAGAGUAAGCUCCGGCUAACUCCGUGCCAGCAGCCGCGGUAAUACGGGGGGAGCAAGCGUUGUCCGGAAUUACUGGGCGUAAAGGGCGUGUAGGCGGUAUUGUAAGUCAGAUGUAAAAGGCUACGGCUUAACCGUAGAUUGUCAUUUGAAACUGCAGUACUUGAGUGCGAGAGAGGGUAGUGGAAUUCCCAGUGUAGCGGUGAAAUGCGUAGAUAUUGGGAAGAACACCAGUAGCGAAGGCGGCUACCUGGCUCGUAACUGACGCUAAUGCGCGAAAGCGUGGGGAGCGAACAGGAUUAGAUACCCUGGUAGUCCACGCCGUAAACGAUGAACACUAGGUGUUGGUCCCGACGUGUCGGGAUCGGUGCCGCAGCGAACGCAUUAAGUGUUCCGCCUGGGGAGUACGAUCGCAAGGUUGAAACUCAAAGGAAUUGACGGGGGCCCGCACAAGCGGUGGAGCAUGUGGUUUAAUUCGAUUCAACGCGAAGAACCUUACCGGGGUUUGACAUAUUAGUGAAGUAUGCAGAGAUGUAUACGCCUUUCGGGGCGCUAUUACAGGUGCUGCAUGGCUGUCGUCAGCUCGUGUCGUGAGAUGUUGGGUUAAGUCCCGCAACGAGCGCAACCCUUGCCCCUAGUUGCCAGCAAGUAAUGUUGGGGACUCUAGGGGGACUGCCGGUGAUAAACUGGAGGAAGGUGGGGAUGACGUCAAGUCCUCAUGGCCCUUACAUCCCGGGCUACACACGUGCUACAAUGGCCGGUACAACGGGUUGCGAUACUGUGAAGUGGAGCCAAUCCCUAAAAACCGGUCUCAGUUCGGAUUGCAGUCUGCAACUCGACUGCAUGAAGUCGGAAUCGCUAGUAAUCGCGGAUCAGCUCGCCGCGGUGAAUACGUUCCCGGGCCUUGUACACACCGCCCGUCACGCCAUGGAAGUCGGCAGUACCCGAAGCCGGUGUCCUAAUC
rnacentral:rRNA from 1 species